rnacentral:lncRNA from 1 species
CUGUUGUCUUUGCACCCAACCUAUUCCUCAGUGAGCCCUGCAGCCAGCUGAACAGCCAAGUGGAGGAGCAGCUGCGAAAGCCAGGCCACCGUGGUUCAGACUCUCAUCUCCCACGCUUCUGAGAUUGGUAUUGUCCCCAAGUCUCUCUUGGGAAAAGUGCAAGCUGCAUUUUCUGACCUGGAUGGAAAGAGACAGCCUUCAUCUGAAUCUGAAGGACAGAAAGAGAGCGAAGGGGAAGUAAGGCGGAGGCGGCGGAGGCACAGUGUGAGCAACUUUGUAACUGAGACCCUGAGCAAAUUCAAGACAAGCCGAUCUCUUUAUGCUGCUCCUUGCCAAGAGAUUAAAACAGGCUCCU